rnacentral:lncRNA from 1 species
CUUGGUUAGCUCUGAGUUAAGGAGGAGCUCCAAACUGACCAGCCAACCGCGGUGGGUAGGUACUUCCUGUUUUGCCGGAAGUGCUGGAAAAAAAGUGUUGGAGAGAAGAUGUUGAGGACCAGCCAGCCAGCAGCUCACUCCACCGCACUGGUCUUUACCACAGUAUGGGCCACAUCAACAAAAACUGCCUGCUGGGCCUUGCUUUCCCCAACUGCAAGGCCUGCAGAAUCCAAUGUGGAAGAAGUGCUCAGAAACUGUCCUGAGGCCCUUACCCCUGCUGCACUGCGACAGCGCUCCCCAGUGGCGAUUUUCUGGGCAGACAGGGACAGAGUCGCCUGCUCUCACAGCGGGGCCAUCGAGAUGACCACACUUACCCACGGCUUGGCCAGGGUCGCCUGCCCCACCAGCCGCCACAGCCCCGAGCUCUGCAGACCCCCUACGCUCGCUCUUGCUCCCCUUUUCUGUAAAAGCUCAAAAUUUCGGU